rnacentral:misc_RNA from 1 species
UUGGGCGUUGAAAGUUGAUAUCGAUAUCGAUCCGUGAAAAGUCGAUACCCUGCGCAAGCAUGGGGCGGCAUAUGGGUGCUGAAAACGCACUCGGCCCGAUCCCGAUUGCAGCGUUAUUCGAAAGCUGUGUCUGCGACCGUGACUGAGAUCAUAUGCGUACAUAUAUCUAAUGUCCGGGGUCGUGGGCCAGCCAGGGUGCUCGAUUCUGUCAGAUUGAUUGUGCGGAUUGUGUUAUAGGAACACUGGUGUAUCGACUUCUCUGCUCCACUAUGGGUGAAGGAUACCCUACCGAAAAGGCCUUCUGUCGCUUACUAUCAUCGAACAAGUUCCGUAAAGGGCAGACAUACGUACACGUGGCAGCAUAUUACGUUCAAUGACACAUCGUCUCUGGAUUAGUAGUUGAACCAACGAGCUCGAAUAUACCCUGCCAGUUGGUUGUAAAUAUUAAUUUUGUUCUUAUAUUCAGUUGUAAAGUCAAUACGGAAGACAUUUCCACACCAACCAUGUGUCACUUAUGUUCUUAAAUACCAGAAACUGUUUAAAUUUUUGUUCUUAUACACUUCACCAAUUAAGAAUUACCUGUACUGAUGUAAGUGUACCUGUUGAAUCACAACAAAAAUAGAAAAAAUGAAUAACAAAAGAGCUCUAUAACAGAAAAGCCACAGAAAAAGUGAAUAAAAAAUUCAAAAAUUCAAAAAAUAAAUUUCGAAACAUUU